UAGUUUUCAGGGAAACUGAGGAGUAAUACUUAUUUUAUUUAUAGAGAGUUAACAUUUGGUGCAAGUUAAUAAUAAAAAAGUAUGAAGGUUGCAGUGGAGAAAAAUCGUUAAUAUGCGUUAAAUAUCUAAAGAAUAACAAUAGUUAUAAAAGUAAGGUGGUACCGUGAAUUAUCUCACCCUUACG
rnacentral:ncRNA from 1 species